CCUAGAAUUAAGUUAUUAAUGUGAAUUGUUCACGUGUAGCGGGGAACCCCUAUGGAUCCCCAUGGAUACUAGUAGGCUGAUAAAAGAGAAAAUUUAUUGUCUUAUGACUGAAAUACAAAAGCAUGAUAUGUGUUAUGUUACAGAGCGUGCAUGAUCUUAUGAUGUUAUUGUCACUCAUAAGUUGUUUUCAUGAAUCUCACUGAGGUAAGUGGACAGUAAAGGUUUUCAU
rnacentral:lncRNA from 1 species